UUUCCGGUUGAUCCUGCCGGAGGUCACUGCUAUCGGGGUUCGAUUCAGCCAUGCGAGUUGAGAGGGUUUAGACCCUCGGCGGACUGCUCAGUAACACGUGGAUAACCUGCCCUAAGGUGGAGGAUAACCCCGGGAAACUGGGGAUAAUACUCCAUAGACCAGAGUGACUGGAAUGUUUUCUGGUCGAAAGUUCCGGCGCCUUAGGAUGGAUCUGCGGCCGAUUAGGUAGUUGUUGGGGUAACGGCCCAACAAGCCAGUCAUCGGUACGGGUUGUGGGAGCAAGAGCCCGGAGAUGGAAUCUGAGACACGAUUCCAGGCCCUACGGGGCGCAGCAGGCGCGAAAACUUUACAAUGCAGGAAACUGUGAUAAGGGAACCCCGAGUGCUCGUACACGCGAGCUGUCCAGGUGUGUAAAAAGCAUCUGAAGAAAGGGCCGGGCAAGACCGGUGCCAGCCGCCGCGGUAAUACCGGCGGCUCGAGUGGUGGCCACUAUUAUUGGGCUUAAAGCGUUCGUAGCUGGACUCUUAAGUCUCCUGGGAAAUCCGCCGGCUCAACCGGCGGGCGUCCAGGAGAUACUGGGAGUCUUGGAACCAGAAGAGG
rnacentral:rRNA from 1 species